rnacentral:rRNA from 1 species
AUUGAACGCUGGCGGCAGGCCUAACACAUGCAAGUCGAGCGGAGCGGCGGACGGGUGAGUAAUGCCUAGGAAUCUGCCUGGUAGUGGGGGAUAACGUCCGGAAACGGGCGCUAAUACCGCAUACUAUCAGAUGAGCCUAGGUCGGAUUAGCUAGUUGGUGGGGUAAAGGCCUCCCAAGGCGACGCUCCGUAACUGGUCUGAGAGGAUGAUCAGUCAAACUGGAACUGAGACACGGUGCAGACGAGUACGGUGGGCAGCAGGGGGGAAUAGUGGACAAGGGGCGAAAGCCUGAUCCAGGCAUGCCGCGUGUGUGAAGAAGGUCUUCGGAUUGUAAAGCACUUUAAGUUGGGAGGCGUUACCAACAGAAUAGGCACCGGCUAACUUCGUGCCAGCAGCCGCGGUAAUUC